AACGAACGCUGGCGGCAUGCCUAACACAUGCAAGUCGAACGAACCCUUCGGGGUUAGUGGCGCACGGGUGCGUAACGCGUGGGAAUCUGCCCUUUGCUUCGGAAUAACAGUUAGAAAUGACUGCUAAUACCGGAUGAUGUCGCAAGACCAAAGAUUUAUCGGCAAAGGAUGAGCCCGCGUAGGAUUAGGUAGUUGGUGGGGUAAUGGCCUACCAAGCCGACGAUCCUUAGCUGGUCUGAGAGGAUGAUCAGCCACACUGGGACUGAGACACGGCCCAGACUCCUACGGGAGGCAGCAGUGGGGAAUAUUGGACAAUGGGCGAAAGCCUGAUCCAGCAAUGCCGCGUGAGUGAUGAAGGCCCUCGGGUCGUAAAGCUCUUUUACCAGGGAUGAUAAUGACAGUACCUGGAGAAUAAGCUCCGGCUAACUCCGUGCCAGCCGCCGCGGUAACAC
rnacentral:rRNA from 1 species